GUGUGAUGUUCCGCACCAUACCACCCGUUGUAAUUGUGCUUUUUUUCUUUUACCUCGGCGGUUUCUUUUCUAACUCACGGUUGUGGCCUCGUGUGAUUUGGGAGCUAGCCCACCAGUCCACUACCCAGCCGCACCGUUUUUUUUGUCCUGGGUUAGUCUGUCCGGCGGCGAGCGGUUCGAAGUCGAAUCCAGACGCGGCGGCGGCGGGUGUGCGUCCGGCGUCGAGCGGCUGAGUGGCGGCGAGCAGCGGCUGGACUCUGCCGACCGUGUCCUCGGCAGCGUUGUGGUUGGCCGGUUGAAUCGGCGUCAAUCUCGGUGCGGGGUCUUGCGGCAUCCUGGUCAGGCAGAGCGGGUGUCCUAGAUGCGACGGCAUCGGCUUCGUGGUUGGGCAGCGCGACGGGCCAUGUAUGUGGGCUGCAUCGGCAUCAUGGUGAGUGGCGUGCGGUGCUGCAGGUGGCAUCUGCAUCUUGACGAGCGGCGGGCGGCCUCAGCCUUACUGUGGGUCUUUUCAUGGCGACGGCGUGUAGCCUGGCAGCGCUGGGUGGCAUCGCCAUUGUGGUGAGCGGCAGUUCUUAUCGGCACUGCUACGGGCGGAGCUCUCUGGUGGUUUUUGAUGUCAGUGUACGUUGAACGUUCACGGCGUGGUGCUGGCGAAGACCUACGGAGGCUUCGUCUGGCAGUGAGCACCUGAGCUGUGACCAACGACGUUGGUGUGGUUUCAUCUCUUGCUCUCCUUAGAUCAGGUGAUACUGACACACUUCUGAUUGUUUCCUGCCCAUCUUGACAUUGCUCGCUAUAUAUGUGUUCCAAAUCUGAAUUGGUACUUCUUUCUCUUAUUUCAUAUGAUUGCAUGUGCACCAAAACAUGUGUAGAUAUAAGGAUAUAAUUGCUUUAUUACGCAAUGUACUGACGAAAAUUCAUCAAAUAAUUUGGCAUGACAUUUUUUGAGCUAACAAAUGCAACUCGUGAUACACUACCAAUGUCCUGAAUAUUUGUUGCUUGGGAAGAAAGAGGCAGGGCAACACCUUGCACGGCUGCAGCACCAACAGUGUAUGGGAGGCCAAAACAAACAGGUUCAAGGCAAACUUCUAAACAUCAGCCAAGAGGAACAUGUCCAACAGUAUAGGAGAGACAAUAAGGUGCUACUAUCAGAAUUAGGAGAACAAGAGCUGAAGCCUAAAGGGAAUCACCUCUUCAUGGUCAUUCUGGCGGAACAUUUGUACUUCAGCUAGCCAUCGGCAUGCUGGGGAAAUCAUGUCAUUGAUCCGGAUAUUCCUUUCUCGGUCGUUGAUCCAGAUAGUCCCUUCUCGAAUAUGUUUUCCACGUUGUUGCCUUGUUGGGCAUGGAAGAAACAGGGUAUACUUAUCAUUGUAUUGAACCACUGACUGCUCCACAUCUUCCCCUCCAUUGAAUAUCAAAUUAAUUCCAUUUUGUGCA